rnacentral:lncRNA from 10 species
UUUCCUGGGCCCUGGGCAGGGGCUGCCCCAUCCCUGUAUCCCCCGGUCCUUCCUUCCCCACCUGGAGUGAGUGGGUCACAGCUAGUGGGUUAGCUGGCUGUGGACCUUUCCCUGCUGCCCGGCUGCUGUGGACCUUUCCCCCUGCCCGGCUGCUGUGGACCUUUCCCUGCUGCCCGGCUGCUGUGGACCUUUCCCCCUGCCCGGCUGCUAUGGACCUUUCCCUGCUGCCCAGCUGCUGUGGGCCACCCCUGGACGAUGGAAAGGCCAAGCCAAGGCUGGUGCAGUUAGUCUUGAACUCCGCUGAACUGGGUUCACAUCUGACUCGGCCACUUGCUAUGCAUGUGAUCUUGGGCAGGUCACCUCAACUUUCUGGGUGCACCUUUUUAGUCCUGACAGGAUUGUCACGAGAAUUAAGUGGAACAGGCCAUGAGGCGAGAGAGGAGGGACAGGAGUGAGGCCAUGCCAGGCGGAGUGGCUUGUUCAGUGGAGGGUGCUGCUUUGGUCUAGACAGGAGAAGGCCAGUGGAACUCCCAUUCCCCUCUGCCCUCCCAUGCCCUGGCCAAGCUCCUCUGUAGCAGCGGAGUCCAGGGCAGGUCACCCUAGCCAUGGCCUUGGCUGUCCCGUGUGUGACCUGGAUGUCAUGGUGCCACCUCCUUCCUGGGAGCAGUAAGGAUUCCAUGCCAUGGAGGACAGAUGAGGAAAUGGACCCAAGAGGUUUGGGUGUCGCAGCAACACUAGAUCAAAGAUGGGAUGCUGGGGCACAUCUCUUGCCCUCCCUGGCAGGCCUCAGUUUCUCCCCUGUAAAGCGGGGUGAGGUCAGCAUCUGCCUCUUGGGCUCGUGGAGAUUCUGUGAGGUGACUUGUGUGGUGGUUCAUGUGACGCAUGGCCCAAGGUCCCAUCUGAUGCCGAGGCUGAAGGAGUCUCGCUCCCACGAGUCCCUGCUCAGCCCCAGCAGU